GGAUGGUGGCAGUGGGCAGCCACAGAGCAGAAAGUGGCGGACUUGGGCGGCCACAGGCAAGGAGGUGGAGGCACAGAGAAGUUCCAGAACUUCCCUAAGAUCAUACUGUUGGUAAGUGGCAGAGCGAGGAUCUGAACCCAGGCAGUUAAUUUGUUCAUUCACAGUUUUGAACUCCUCUUCUGAGACAGGCACGGUGCUGGGGGUUCACAAGACCAUGAUGAACUCUUAGUGUUGGUCCUUCAUGGACAACUUAGACUUCACGGAGUCUAAUGUUUGUUUCUGACUCCAAUACCAGCUUUCUUCAUAAUCCUCUGGAUGGUCUCUUAGUGGUACACACACUUUAAAGUCUGCCAUUGUCUGUGACCCCACCCAUUACCAUACCAGAGACCACGACCUUCACCUCUGCCAUUUCCUGGCUAUGCUGGGACACCCUCAGUAGCAGUGUCUCCGUGCAGCAAAGUACAAUGGCCAUUUUCUAGGGCAUAUACGACAUGUACACUCCAGGCCUGCUUUCUUUGCCUAAUUAGUGUGGGAGCAGUAAACUCAAAUUUGCAAGUCCUGUGAGGAGAGCUUACUAUGGGCGUGAGAAGCCAUUCUGAUUUCUAAGUAUCUUAUCAAUAGCAAAUAUUUGCAUGUUGGUUUUCACCCCUUGAUAAUUAGAACCUGAUCUUCACAGAUUCUGACAUAAUGAUCGCUUCCUGUGAAUCCUGAAAAAAACAAAGCAAAAUUAGCUUGCACUUUACCUACACAUAGGGAAGCACCUUAAAGGGGUUUCCUUAUCCUAUAGCAUUGCACACUUCCCCACAAGGUGGUUUAUUUCCCAACUGAAAUUUCCUUCUGAUAGUGUACAUAAAUCCUGAACUUUGUGCUCUUUGACUAAUUCAUCCCUUGCGUGCCUUUGAGCAAACUCUGAAGGACAGACGUGGCUUCUCUGGCAAUGACCAACUUUCAGUGGCCAUGGAAAGGGUGAAUGACCACUUACUUGGGGUAGAGUAAUACUAAUGAGUGGUAAUAGUGAUAAGUAUACUGAGGGCCUGCUCUGGGCUAGUCACUGUGCCAAACGCUCUACAUGCAUUGUCUCAUUUAAUAAUUACAGUGGCCAUAGGUAUGUAUUAUGAUUACAAGUAACAAGGAAGGAAGCUUGUUCGCAAAAUGUAAAUAACUUACUUGAGGUCACACAGCUAACAAAUGGCAAUGCUAAGAUGCAGAACCAGACCCAUCAGGUACUAGAGUCUGCAUCAGGCAGGAUGUGGAAGCAAAAGGCUAUUUGGUCUUUAAGGUUUUGUGAUUGAGAUGUUCUGCUCUACUCUGCUUUGAACAAAGAAUAUCAGAAGUGUUACCUUGGGUUCCUCUGGUCACGGUACUUUAAGUGGGAAAAUAAACAAUCUGAAGCAGGUUUUAAGGCUAAUAACCAGAGUGGAGAGAUGCUCAAACCAUGUCAUGUGAGGAGAGUUUAGGGAACCAGAAAUAUUCAUAGGCAGGAGUUGAGGAGACUAGGGCUGGGGAAUUGGGAGGGAGAGUAGGCUAAUUGGCUUCAAACAAUUGAAGGACUGUCCGAGGCAAGAAAGACUAGGCUGGUGUUGUGUGGCCAAUGAGGACCAAUAAGAAGAAGUUGGAGAGGAACAUAUUUUGAUCCCAUAUACAGAUGUUUAUUAUCCCUCAGACUGGAAAGUGGUGGAAAGAAUGUUUGAAUGCCAGUUCCAUCACUGCAGUAAGCAUUUAUUGUUUUUCUUUCCAGAGUCCUUUCCUCUUUAUUCUGAAAGCAAUGGUCUGAUUUCCUUUGGGGAAAUAACAUUUCCUCAUUAAGAGCAGUCUAGGUGGGAUAAUCAGUCAAGUUGUACCAUUCACCCUGGGCCAAGAGUUGAGCAUGUGACCCAAGUUGGCCCAGUCAAAUUCUUUUUCCUAGGACACUCUAUCUUGAGCUGAGUAACAUAAGCAUGGAAACAUGGCUGGGGCUGAUUCUUCCCUGAGCAGAGCCCUGACCCAGGAGGACACCAAAAUACUAGAAACACACUUAUGUAUUAAACAUCUCCUUCAGGCCGUGUUUUCCCACCGUUUUCUUCCAGACUUUAAGAAGAAUCAUCAAGAAUUAUAUCUCAAACCUAAAUUCCUUACGACAUGAUUUGCCCUUAAGAAUAGGAUUAUUACCAUCCCUGGUCCUACCCUUCAACAUUCUCUCAAUUUUAUGAGCUACCUAUGUCUUCCCAAUAAAUUCUCUUUUUACUUAACUUAAUAGAAAUGUUUUUCUAAUGUCAGCAAAGUGUUCUAACUGACACAACCAUUAACUAGAUGUGUGGCUAUGAUCUUGGAAAACAAUUUCACCUCUCUGAGCCCUAGUUCCUUCAUUUGAAAAUAAUCCCAGUAGGUUUUAGAGUCUAACAUGAGAUAGCAUCUACAAAGAGAAAGGCACAUACUAGGUGCUCAACAAGUGCUGGUUGGCUUCUGUUUCUCCUCUGAAAUAUAAAUGUUCUGUUUUCAGAAAAAUUGAGAGAGAUACUAUAUGUAAGGUAGUGCCUAGCACAUAGCAGUGCUCAAUAACUGGUAGCUAUGGAAAUGAUGUGAUUAUAAUUUUCUGGCAUGGGAAGUAUUCAGUCUGGACUGGAAAAUCAUUGGCCAGGGAUAUACAGAGGUUAUUCAACCAUGGGAUGGGUGUUUGGACAUGAUGACCUCAUUUUUUUCCUACACUAAGAGUCUGUGAUUCUAUAUUAGAGAGAUUUAGCAUUGUCUUUAAGGAUGUGCAGCUCCUUUAAAGCAAAAUGGCAGAGACAAUAGGCUUGGUAUGAGGACUGAACAUGGUUGGGAAGAUCUCUGGGGCUGAUGUCCAAGCCAACACUGAGGAGGGGUCACUAACCAACCUGCCCGGAGAGAGCUCUGACGAUCACCCAGGUUAGUGUCCAUAAAGACUAACUCACUCAGUGCUUCCACCAUGGUUUUGUCUUAAUUAGGAACAGAGACUCAUUCAAGUUGUUCCAGAAAUAAUGGACUUUAUUGAAAGGACACGUAUACAUGGGAACUCUGGAAGAGCCAAGGAACCCAGCCUCAAGAAAGGCAGAAAUUAAGGCAACUCUGUGAUAAGCUCUUUUCACAUUUCCAGUUCUCCCCCUCACAGCAAAGUCUCUCUCUUUAUAUUGCCUCCUUUAUCCUCUUCCUUGCCAGCUGGCUAUUUCUUGUUAUCUGUCCAUAAAUGGCCAUUCAGUCCCCAAAUCUGCAUGAUCUUCUGGGUCCAGCCACCGUAACUAACGAACCUCUGGGUGUCUUUACCUAAAUCCUGAGAGACAGAUUUGACUGGCUUAGCUGUUGAGCCAGGCUAUGUCACAGGCUACCGAUGCGCCAUCCCUGAGAUCUGUGUCCUCACCAGGUACAAUCAGCUGAGUCUGGGGAGACAAGCUCACCUCCUCUGCUACCCACUCAGCAGGAGAUGUGGACUGGUCAGGAGACAUUAGCAAUAUUUGGUAAGAGGCAUCUUACCUGUGAUGAUACCAAAAUAUAAGAUACAUUCCUGUAUAUUAAACAUCUCCUGUAAGGUAUAUUUUCCCACCAUUUUCUUCCAGUCUUUAAGGAGAAUCUCCAAGGCUUAUAUCCUCAACCCAAAUUCCUUAGAUGUGGUUUGCCCUUGAAGCAAAUUUCCCGUGACAACAUGGAAAUCUCCCUUCUGUGGUGGGUACACAAGUCAACAUUGAAGCAACUGGGUCUUCAAACAUGUGGUGUAAAAUUGAGCUAGCACUAAAGUGUUUCAACUGAAAGGCUCUGGUUUCCAGUUGAAGGAGAAGUGGAAGGAGGACCUAAGGCCAUGGGAAUGGGAAGAAGACGACAAUAAGAAGUAAAGGGAGCUGAGUGAGAGAGCCAGGAAGGAACGAGAGGUCAGACGGGAGCUGCAGCUAGGAGUGGGAGGAAAGCCAGUGAAGACGAGAAACCAGAUAAGAACUGCUGCUCCCACUUUGGGUCCCAGAAUACCUAGCGUGAAACUAGAAAAAGAGUACAGAGAGUCAGGUAGACUGAGAGAACUGGGCUGGGUGAGGGCUCGACCCCAGUGAUUGUAUUGAGUGCCAGCUAUGUACUAGGCAUGUAAGAUCUCUCCUAGGCUUGGAGCUGUGUUUAUUGUUAGACUCUAAUUGUCAACUUGCAUUCAGUUUGAACACUUGUAAGUUCUUAGCUACUAUGGUCUCAUGGACUCUGACUAAAGAAAAGUUCAGGGUAAGAAGGAGGAUAUAUUUCUAAGACCAGCGAAAUGUCUAAAACCAUAGGUAACACAAGGGAGAGUGGAACGCUCUAGAAAGGUCCUUGAACCUAAUAUUCCUUGAGAAAUUUUGAAAGCCAACCCACAGAUUGCCCUGUAAUUUGUCAUAGUCUUGCAUGCCAUUCACAUGCCUGUGGGAUCCAACCCCAGGGCUGGACUUGCAUCUUUCCAAUUUGUUUUGAAAUACUCCUUUGACACAGUGUCUCCAAGAAAACAUUACCACAAGUUUCUCUUAGGAGUAGGAAGUUUAAUGGAUUACCCUGGGCUAACGAGAGGAUUCUGGGCCCGGAAUUCUGGGCCCACACUCUUCAAGUCUGAGGAUUAAUCCUCUUCUAAGGGGUGGGUAAGCCUCUGCUGGUUGAUUACAAAUGUUCCAGAUAGAAAUCUUUAAGGCAGGAACUUUGCGAACAACAAAAACAACCACAGAAAAACUCUAUAGAAGGCCUUACCUUAACUCAUUACUUACUCAACUUUGUGAAUUUUGAGGACUUAAUGAGGCAUUUUAAAUAAAGAAAUAAGUUACUUAAAGGCUAAGGAUAUGUGGGACCAGCUUAAAUUGGGCAAUGAGAAACCUAAAUUGCCCUUUCAGAAUAUUAUUCACCCUAUAAAAACAAAUCGUAUUUGUUCCCAGUAAACAUGUCAGGACAGCAGCUGGAUAAGACAAGUGUAGACUGGUUGCUGUCCAAUCUGCCAACUUUCAGAUAAAAGACCGGGAUCUGAUAAGCGACAGAUUACCCUGAGAACAUUUGCGGCGGGAUCGUUUCUGCUUCAUCAUUUCAGUGCCAAACGUACAUGCACUGCACACCUAUCAUGUACCAGGAGCAGAGUGUGGUGAUUCAGAGUGUAAUCCUGGAGGCAAAACAACUUGGGAUGGAAUCCAUUCCCACUACAUGUUAGCUCUGUGACCUUGGAGUUAUUGAAGAUGAAAAGAGAUGGCAAGAGGAAAAUCUAGUGCCCAGAAUACAGGAAGCGCUCAGUCAAUGAGAUGGACUGUGGGAGCUAAGGACAGAAUGAUGCGUUGAUUCAUCCAUCUACCCAUCCAUUCCACAAGUACGAAGCUCCUGCUGGAUGCUGAGCACUGGGUUAGGCACCAGGAACCCAAAGAAGAGUAAGACAUGGUGCCCACUGUCAAAAGCCCAGAAAGAUGACAUAUAAUAUAAUGUGGUAAACACAAUACUUGACACAUAUAAACAAAGUAGAAUGGGCAGUAGAGGUGGGAAUUACCAACUCUGCCUGUAGAAGACUUCACAGACAAGGUGCCUGGAGAAAUUCCUAGAGGUCUCUGGAUUUUUAUGUAUAUGGGCAUUCAAGCACAUAUAGAUUGGUGGUAGGAAAAUAUUUACCAAGAGUGAGGGUGGGAGCCAACAGCUGGUGCUAAGAAUGGUGGAGCAGGAAGAAAGGAGGACAGCGUCAUUGCGAUUAUUGUGGAGCAACCAUCUUGAUCCUGAACUCCAAACUUCUUUUAUAGGAGAGAAAAAUAGACCACUCCUCAUUUUUCACAGGAAGGGAGAGAAGGAGGAAGAGAAA